UAACGCGUGAGGAACCUGCCUUCCAGAGGGGGACAACAGUUGGAAACGACUGCUAAUACCGCAUGACACAUGACCGUGGCAUCACGGACAUGUCAAAGAUUUAUCGCUGGAAGAUGGCCUCGCGUCUGAUUAGCUGGUAGGCGGGGUAACGGCCCACCUAGGCGACGAUCAGUAGCCGGACUGAGAGGUUGACCGGCCACAUUGGGACUGAGAUACGGCCCAGACUCCUACGGAAGGCAGCAG
rnacentral:rRNA from 1 species